rnacentral:rRNA from 1 species
GUGGGGAAUAUUGGACAAUGGGCGCAAGCCUGAUCCAGCCAUGCCGCGUGAGUGAUGAAGGCCUUAGGGUUGUAAAGCUCUUUCACCGGAGAAGAUAAUGACGGUAUCCGGAGAAGAAGCCCCGGCUAACUUCGUGCCAGCAGCCGCGGUAAUACGAAGGGGGCUAGCGUUGUUCGGAAUUACUGGGCGUAAAGCGCACGUAGGCGGAUCGAUCAGUCAGGGGUGAAAUCCCAGGGCUUAACCCUGGAACUGCCUUUGAUACUGUCGAUCUAGAGUAUGGAAGAGGUGAGUGGAAUUCCGAGUGUAGAGGUGAAAUUCGUAGAUAUUCGGAGGAACACCAGUGGCGAAGGCGGCUCACUGGUCCAUUACUGACGCUGAGGUGCGAAAGCGUGGGGAGCAAACAGGAUUAGAAACCCGAGUAGUCC